CCCCCGACACUCGAACCACAAGGGCCAAUACACACAUUUCUCUGCAGGAUGGUGAACUCAGUGUAAUAUAUUGUUACAUCUAAAUUACCCUUUUUUCUCAGUAUUACAAAUAGAUAAAUGCUAAUUAGCUUUCUUUGAGUCUGUUCUCUCCCCUUUCUCUGUCCUCCCAACGACCUCUCUACACCUGCUUUGUCUUUUUAAUGUUUGCCUCCCUCCGUCGAUCUCCCUUCUAUAAACGUACCAGCUUUCAGUUUUCCAAACAGCCGCAGAACGGACGGUGCUCAUGCGUUUUCCCGUUUUUGGCCCCUCGCCGCUCUUAACAAGUAGUCUCUUCUGAUUGGUGCAGAGAGCUCUCAAUGAGAUAAUAGAGGGCCAGUCCAAUGGGAAGGGUAAUAGGGAUAGGUCAGAGGGGAAACGAGUCCUCACCUUUCAUACCAUCUGUUAUCCAACGAAGAUGAGCGGGUCUCACUAGUUAUCACAGCCACAAAGUCAGAAGGCCCGCCUACUCGACCAAUCAGGCGAGAGGGAGUGUGAUGACGCAUACGUAGUGCUCAGAGAAAUAACCUUUUGCGGUUAAAUUCCCAUGUAGCGAAUUUUAAAAAACAACAAGUUAAAUGUGUUUUCCAUGUCAUUUUUCAACUCUUUCUGAUGGUUCUCUCACAAAACGCGUUUGCGUUACAUAGCGAGCGUGGUCACUCUGGUAUUGGCACGUGCGCGCUCGAGGCAACAGGGCUAUCUGCGCACUGUUGUCUCGUUGUGCACAAAUAACCUAUACGAUUACAUUAUUAUUAUGGACAAUCGGCAGCCAAGCAUCGAUUAUCCUGUCACCAGAAUAACACCUUCGAUAUUUAUUGGAAAGGAGCAUCGAGUUUAUCACCUUAAUGUAUUUAAUCUGUAGUCUAAGAAACUGCACGCUUUCCUGAUCAGUCGUAGUGGGGAGAACCACACAACAUGUCAUCGCGUCACUCCAAAAUGUACUUCGAAAUUAUUGUUAUUAUAUCAAUAUUUGCGCAUACAAGCGUUUCCACCGAGAUAUAUCUCGCAUAAGCUAAUUCAUUUUAUUGACACAAAAAGAUCCCAUGUCGCGUAUCUUGAGCAUCUGGCAGCAAAAGUGCUGAGCUCUGAGAACGCGGGAGACACCAUGCAGCAGGUAGCGACUCAAACCACAUCCACUGCGCGCGCAGACUUAUCGCAAAACUAUGUGGAGAAAUGGGAUCAGGGGAUGACCCUGUUCUAUUUCACACCAAGGCUUGGUGGUUAUCGGGGGGGGGGUUCCAGUUCUUACUGGACUUUCAAAAGAGACCCCUUCCUACCUUCUCGGCUGUGCAUGUCUCUAAACAGAAAAGAGCAUCAGUAAGUGUCCCGCACGAGUGAUGACUACUCACCUCAUACACUUGGAAGAGAACUUUGGGAACCGACUUCCUAAACCGUUUGACUGUGAUUCUGGCUCAGUUGACAUGCUGGUAAGUGAAAUCGAACAGCUGAUUGAGCUGUCAUGUGACCAAAUUAAUUCACGGGUCACUACUGAGGAGUUUAGGUUGAUGACUCAAAAGGGAAAAUACCAUGGCACACUGAACAUUAAUGCCGCAUUCAAAACAUUUGGGAACUCGGGAAAUCUCUGCCUUCCGACUUCAGCGCAUUCAAGACAACUGGGAACUGAAACAUAAGCGAGCUCCGACUGAGGAAAAAAACCCGAUUUGAACGGUCAUCCACCUCGGAAUCUCGAGAAGACAAUCAGAAAUACUGUUAGAAUGUUUUUCAAUUGACUGCCACAGCGCCAAAUAAAACAUGUAAACAUUGUUUUUUGGGGUCGAGAGAUUUUUGUUGGAAAUCCAAAAUUCAGUCGAGAGUCCAAAAAGGGAGUGUUAUUCUAUUUGACAGAGCAACAUUGUUAAAUAGUAAUAACACAUUUUUGACCUUCAACAAAUGCACAGCCUUCGGCAGGAAAACAACUCAGCUAGUAGGCUCAGGAAAAAAAACAACUCAGCUAGUAGGCUCAGGAAAAAAAACAACUCAGCUAGUAGGCUCAGGAAAAAAAAAACAACUCAGCUAGUAGGCUCAGGAAAAAAAAACCUCAGCUAGUAGGCUCAGAAAAAAAAAAACUCAGCUAGUAGGCUCAGGAAGAAAAAAAACAGCUAGUAGGCUCAGGAAGAAAAAAAACAACUCAGCUAGUAGGCUCAGGAAAAAAAAAAAACUCAGCUAGUAGGCUCAGGAAAAAAAAAACAACUCAGCUAGAGGCUCAGGAAAAAAAAAAAAAAACUCAGCUAGUAGGCUCAGGAAAAAAAAAAACUCAGCUAGUAGGCUCAGGAAAAAAACAACAACUCAGCUAGUAGGCUCAGGAGAAAAAAAACUCAGCUAGUAGGCUCAGAUGUCCUUUAUCUAUUACCCAAGAGGCUGAGGAAGUCGUGGGAUACCAUUCUAAUAUCUCUGUCUCAGGAAAACAACUCAGCUGAGAGAGUAGAAGGCUCCCGAUUCAAUGGUGUUCCGUUUCAAGUUGUGGGCACGAAAACGUAUACGAAUGCCACCCGGGGAAACAGACAAACCACAGACCAUAACCUUUUGGCAAUGAUGUCCUUUAUCUAUUACCCAAGAGGCUGAUGAACUCGUGGGAUACAAUUUUAAUGUUUCUGUGUCCAGUAUGAAGGAAGUUAGUAGUUUCGCAAGCCAAUGCUAACUAGCAUUAGCGCAAUGACUGGAAGUCUAUGGGUAUCUGCUGCUAGCAUGUUCCUCAAUCAAAUGGAAGAAGAUGGGACUUUAAACAGGUGUCCUUACUCUGUGGUCACUAAAGAUCCCACGGG
ensembl:lncRNA